rnacentral:rRNA from 1 species
ACGAUACGGGACUCAAUAUGAGGCCCCGUAAUUGGAAUGAGUACACUUUAAACCCUUUUUCAAAAAGCCAUUGGAGGGCAAGUCUGGUGCCAGCAGCCGCGGUAAUUCCAGCUCCAAUAGCGUAUAUUAAAGUUGUUGCGGUUAAAAAGCUCGUAGUUGGUUCUGCGUCCCACGCUGUCGGUACACCGUCCGUCGGUGACACUGGCAUGCCGUGGUAUGUCCUGUCGGUGGCGGCCGAGUCCUCUGCGGGUCGGUUUUCCGGCAUGCUUAGGUUCUCCGGUCGCCGGCUUAUAUCCUACCGCGGUGCUCUUCAUUGAGUGUCGAGGUAGGCCGACACGUUUACUUUGAACAAAUUAGAGUGCUUAAAGCAGGCUCAAAUCUCUGCCUGAAUAGUGGUGCAUGGAAUAAUGGAACAGGCCCUUGGUUCUAUUUUGUUGGUCUUAGGAACACAAGGUAAUGAUCAAUGUGGACAGGCGGGGGCAUUCGUAUUGCGGCGUUAGAGGUGAAAUUCUUGGAUCGUCGCAAGACGCACUAGAGCGAAAGCAUUUGCCAAGUAUGUCUUAAUUGAUCAAGAACGAAAGUUAGAGGUUCGAAGGCGAUCAGAUACCGCCCUAGUUCUAACCAUAAACGAUGCCAGCCAGCGAUCCGCCGAUGUUCCUCCGAUGACUCGGCGGGGAGCUUUCCCCGGGAAACCAAAGCUUUUGGGUUCCGGGGGAAGUAUGGUUGCAAAGCUGAAACUUAAAGGAAUUGACGGAAGGGCACCACCAGGAGUGGAGCCUGCGGCUUAAUUUGACUCAACACGGGAAACCUCACCAGGUCAGGACAUUGGAAUGAUUGACAGAUUGAUAGCUCUUUCUUGAUUCAGUGGGUAGUGGUGCAUGGCCGUUCUUAGUUGGUGGAUCGAUUUGUCUGGUUAAUUCCGAUAACGAACGAGACUCUAGCCUAUUAACUAGACGAUUCCGGUAUCGAAGCUACCGGCGAUAUAUGUUCUUCUU